rnacentral:misc_RNA from 1 species
GAUGAAGAACGUAGCGAAAUGCGAUAAGUAGUGUGAAUUGCAGAAUUCAGUGAAUCAUCGAAUCUUUGAACGCACAUUGCGCCCCUUGGUAUUCCAUGGGGCAUGCCUGUUCGAGGGUCAUUUGUACCUUCAAGCUCUGCUUGGUGUUGGGUGUUUGUCUCGCCUCUGCGUGUAGACUCGCCUCAAAACAAUUGGCAGCCGGCGUAUUGAUUUCGGAGCGCAGUACAUCUCGCGCUUUGCACUCAUAACGACGACGUCCAAAAGUACAUUUUUACACUCUUGACCUCGGAUCAGGUAGGGAUACCCGCUGAACUUAAGCAUAUCAAUAAGCGGAGGA